ACGCCCCGCCCGGCGACGCCUUCCCGGGUGCCUUAAAGGGGCAGCGCCCCGGGAACCGGGAAGGGGCACGGUUACCGGAGGGGGAUGGGAGCGAUGGCGGCAGCGGCUCCCAGGGCCACAGCCCUUCAGGGACUGUUAACCCUGUGUCUCUGCUCUGAGGGACCAAGGCCUCGAGAAGCUCCUGUGAUGCUUUCACCCGACACGGACACCCUCCAACGCACACGGUGUUUCGUCACUGAGACACCCAGCGCUGCAGCUGGGAACCAAGUGCUCUGUGGUGACGGCGCCCCAGAAAUCCCAAGGCCCAAGGUUAGUGUCUCUCAUCGCAUCCCUAGGUGCCUAGGGAGAGGCUGAUGUCUCCAAGAACACAUCACCUGCUAAAAAUGCCUUAUAUGGAGACAGAAGUGAGUUUUUCCCAGCCGAAUACUGCCUGGAAGUCACUCUGUUCCUGCUGAAGUCUGGGUGCUCCAUUUCUAAGUGUGAGGCCAGAAAUGAGUGCAUAGCACGGUCGCUUUCAUGUGGGCCAGGCAACCGCAUCCAGGCAACUUCAGGCUGAAUUACCAGGAGACAACACAGAGCCACGGGGUGCCCACGCACAUGCAGGCUGUCAUGGCCCAUCUCUCCUCACGCCCAGAGGUUGCUGCUGGAACGUCGCUGCUGCUGAUUGAAAUGAAGCAACAGUCUUCUAUGAUGCUGAAGAGAAGGAAGUAUAAAAAGAAGCAAAAUAUUCAUGGUAUGGAGAUGGAGAGUUGUGUCUUGCUAUGUCCUGGUUUGGAGUGUCUCUUUACUUGCCUUCGCUCUCAAUCAACUUUUAAUUUGCUCUUAGCUCAGAUAAUUCUCUUCACUGCAUAG
rnacentral:lncRNA from 1 species